rnacentral:lncRNA from 10 species
CCGCUGUCUCAGGCAAUGGACUAAUUCAUGGAGUGUACUGUAGUCUGAGCUCCCUGAUCAGCCGCGGGGAGGUGAGGGUAAAGAUGGGUUGGAUCAGACGAGGCAGUUCUGUCUACAGGUUCCCUGGUGGCAGGCACACGCUCCAGCCCUGAAAGAGAAUUCAGUGGGAAAUCAAUAGGUGCCCAGAGAUGUGCCUAGGCAUGGAGCUGGGAAACCUCCUCAGCCUCAAAUUAUAUACAGGGGUAUGAGGGGCAGCCUAAACUCUCAAUCCAGGAGACGAUGUGCUCCAGAUGCCUGGAGAUCUGCCUGUGUGGACAAGAGAGAGCUCCCCUGCACCAGGAUCACUGCAUAGGUAGAGUGGAGCAGCUCAGGCUGAUGUUCCAUCUGGCACUCUCAUGCUUGGAGAUCUGCCAGGGCAUGGAGCAAAGAGGGCUCCCCCAUACCAAGAUCUCUGCACAAGAAGAGUGAGAUGACUUAGGCUGCUGAACCAGGCCACAAGCAACCCUGAUGGUGGGGCGGAUGCUGGCACAACUUGUCAGAGGCUGGCAGCUGGUGUGCAGACCAAAGCCUAGUGAACCUGGGGCCUAAAUGUCAACGUGUGGCUAUCAGGACAGGAAUAAAGGCAUUGAUGUAACACUGGUUUUUGUUUUGUGUGUGUGUUUUUCUGAAGGGCAAGGUGGAUAUACUAAAAAAUGAAUUUUAAAAACAUUAAGCCCUAAUCCCACCUUCAGAACAAGUGGCUUUUCAAAAUAACUAAAAGGGUAGAACUGGAAUGUUUCUAACACAAAGAAAUGAUAAAUGCUUGAGGCGAUAGACAUCCCAAAUACCCUGAUUUGAUCAUGACAAUAUUGUAUGUUUGUAUCAAUAUUUCACAUGUACUCCAUAAAUAUAUGCAACUAUUAUGUAUCCAUAAUAAUUAAAGAUAAAUCAAUAUUUUAAAGUUCCUCAUUUGUUUUAGAUCCUUCGUUUAAAAAAACUGAGAAAAAAGGAGUUGCUUUUUUUCCCUCCUGGCUAGUGUAAAAACUAACACACAUUUACCUUUCAAUUAAAAUCUCAAGACCCUUUGCAUGUGGUACAUGCACCAAAUGCAUACAUUAGAACUGAAUUAUGGAAAAACACAAGAGAAUGACAUUGAUUUAUGCACUUCCAUUAGAUAGAGUGUUAGUUAACAAUUCAAAACAAACAGAUACCUUAAGUCUGUCAAGAAAAGAGCAUUUUAGUUGAAGAGCAAAG